rnacentral:lncRNA from 1 species
CGCUAUCGGAGCCCCGGAUGGCGCCGCCCCCUCCUUCUCCGCCGCCCCCGUCUCCCCCCCCCCCCCCCCCCCCCCCCCCCGGCGCCGGCGCCGCCAUCUUCACGGUGGGACACGCCGGUGCCGCAGUGGGUGAUACUGUGGAGGGUCCCACGAGUAUAUCCGGCCGACGUGCCCUCCAAGGGAUCGGAGUUCUCCCUCGCUCUCGCGGCUCCGCCACGGAUCAGCUCCCUCUCCCUCGCGGCGCCACCUCAUCUAUCCAGUGCCUACCUCACGGCGGCGCCACCGCAGAUCUCCGCCAAUGGACGCUUCCUCUCCGGCGACCUCGGCCCGUUCGCCCCCUUCGUCCUAGCGGCGGACGCUUCUGGGGUCAUCCUCGUGCACGCCUACUCCGCCCGUGUCCUGUUCGACCACAGCGGCAGCGGCAGCAACAGCGGCAGCGGCAGCGGCAGCGGGGGCCCGUUCGUCGCCGGCGACAAGGGUGGUUCCCGCAUAGGUCCCUGCCUCUACGUGAUUGACACGUUCUCUGCGGCGGCGGAUUUCCUGCCCGACCGCAACACCAACCCCGGGCUGACCAACUUCGCUCUUGUCGUGCACAAUCACGAAGGGGUCGUCGCGCGUAGUUACUCAGUCAUGGAACUGGUUCUCGAGGCUGACAGUAAUAAGGCACAGCUUUGGGAAUUCAGUUCUGCUUCCGGAGUAUGUGCUGAGGGAGAAGAAGAGCUCAGUAUGACGCUACUUCCAGAUGGCUUGCAUGCAGAGGAGGUUGAAACUCUUUCUAGUGUUUGCGUCAGCGAGGGCAAGAUCACAUACGUGGCUGUAUCUGGACAUCCUGGGGGAUUACCUUCUGAGGGCAAUGUUCUCGUCUGGAUUUUGGUUGAUCCGAAGCAUAGCCAGUGGAAGCUUCGUACAGUGACUCCUAUGUCAGUCAUUUGGGACACGAUAUGCCAUGCUCUUGGUCUGCAGAGGGGAGCUCCACCAGUGAUCAGUGUGCUUGACCGGCAAGAUGCCAGCGUGCUCUACUUCUUUAUACAGCAACACCUAGUGGGAUUCCACCUCACAAGAAGACUGUGUACUAGCGUCAUUCUCUGCAACUGCAACUGCAAUAGGACUCGGGAAGAACAAGAAGAUAAGGAACAGCAUAUUGUAUAUGCUGGGAUUACAACAGCGGCCGAAGCAGCCCUGGAGCUGUUUGAGGCUCGAAUGGAUUCGAUCCAAGAUGGACCACCGGCUCAUAUUGUGGUUCCACCGGUUCAUGUUGUGGUUUGUCAAGUGAAGAACGGGGGGACUCAGGGAGCGGACCCCCGUCCAACACAGAAGACUGACAGCCUUGUCGUCGAACAGUACCGAAGAGUUGUUUGA